rnacentral:rRNA from 1 species
AUUGAACGCUGGCGGCAGGCCUAACACAUGCAAGUCGAACGAGUGGCGGACGGGUGAGUAAUGUCUGGGAAACUGCCCGAUGGAGGGGGAUAACUACUGGAAACGGUAGCUAAUACCGCAUACCAUCGGAUGUGCCCAGAUGGGAUUAGCUCGUAGGUGGGUUAACGGCUCACCUAGGCGACGAUCCCUAGCUGGGCUGAGAGGAUGACCAGCCACACUGGAACUGAGACACGGUCAAGGCUCCUACGGGAGGCAGCAGGGGGAAGUAUGUCACAAUGGGCGCAAGCCUGAUGCAGCCAUUCCGCGUGUAUUAAGUAGGCCUUCGGGGUGUAAAGUACUUUCAGCGAGGAGGCGUUACUCGCAGAAGAAGCACCGGCUAACUCCGUGACAGCAGCCGCGGUAAUUC